rnacentral:pre_miRNA from 1 species
UUAGCCCCUAUUUGUAUGGAAUGGGAUCGUUUGCGUACGUUUGCCGCUAGGGGCGCUGUUCCAACUGCAUACAAAAUUGGGUUA